rnacentral:rRNA from 1 species
AUUGAACGCUGGCGGCAUGCUUUACACAUGCAAGUCGAACGGUAACAGGUCUUCGGAUGCUGACGAGUGGCGAACGGGUGAGUAAUGCAUCGGAACGUGCCCAGUCGUGGGGGAUAACGCAGCGAAAGCUGCGCUAAUACCGCAUACGAUCUAUGGAUGAAAGCGGGGGACCGUAAGGCCUCGCGCGAUUGGAGCGGCCGAUGUCAGAUUAGGUAGUUGGUGGGGUAAAGGCCCACCAAGCCAACGAUCUGGAGCUGGUCUGAGAGGACGACCAGCCACACUGGGACUGAGACACGGCCCAGACUCCUACGGGAGGCAGCAGUGGGGAAUUUCGGACAAUGGGCGCAAGCCUGAUCCAGCAAUGCCGCGUGCAGGAAGAAGGCCUUCGGGUUGUAAACUGCUUUUGUACGGAACGAAACGGCUCUCUCUAAUACAGAGGGCUAAUGACGCUACCGUAAGAAUAAGCACCGGCUAACUACGUGCCAGCCGCCGCUGUAAAAC